GCCCAGUUAAUAGCCUCAUCUCCUUCCUCUCAGUAGCCCAGUUAAUCUCCUCGUCUCCUUCCUCUCAGUAGCCCAGUUAAUAGCCUCAUCUCCUUCCUCUCAGUAGCCCAGUUAAUAGCCUCGUCUCCUCCCUCUCAGUAGCCCAGUUAAUAGCCUCGUCUCCUUCCUCUCAGUAGCCCAGUUAAUAGCCUCGUCUCUCAGUAGCCCAGUCAGUCUUGGAGAGAAUGAUAAAACAGGACUGGUAAAAGCCACAUGGAUGAUCCAUCUCUACCAGAAAUGAGCUUUCACCUGUAAUUUCCUUCCCAUCAGUGUAGGAGGGGCAAGGAGAGAAGACGAGGAAACCACUUUAUACUAUUGAGAUGCACCCCCAAGUCCCUAUUGUCCUGGGUGUGGGCUGGCCAGACAGAACAGACCGGUCAGCUGGUGGACCAUCUGUAGUCUGGGAGGGAGGGAGGGAGGGACCUCCAUGUUAAAUAGCCUGGAAACAUCAGCUGCUGUCCUCUUCAUUAAUGAAGUUAGGUCUGCUUCACCACAGACUGUACCGUCCUAAUGGCACCCUAUUCACUAUCUAGUGCACUCCUACUUUAUAUAAGCCUUGGAUGGAUGGCUGGUGAUGUUCAGGGGAAGACUAAGCCCUUACUACUUCAUAUAAGCCUUGGAUGGAUGGCUGUGUAUUUAUGAGGUUGGUACCAUGUUAUAUUCAUUUAAUCCCCUAUUCUGAUGCGUAAUUAGUAUCAGACAAAACUGUUGCUUUAUAGAAACAAACAAGUCAACCCUGAGCACAGCAGUGCGUCAGAUAAAACUUAUUCACAUUGAGAUAUAUAUAUAUAUACUGUACUGUACUGUGCACCUGUUGGUGGUUGAAUCUUAUCCAGCUAACAUCCUGUCUACCAUAACCUGCAGAACAGAAUAUCCAGCAACAAUAACCCAGCAGUCCAACCAUCUAACGGUUAUAGGGUGAAGUUGCCUUAGAUGCUGAUCCUGGGUCAGUUUUUCCCUUUACCCCACUAAUGGUUAAGGUUAGGAUUGGGAAGGGGAAGCUGAUCCUAGAUCUGUACCUAGGGGAAACCUCACCCUAGAGCUAUCCAACAGUGGGUCACGCUUAUCCCUUUUUCUAGACUAGAUCCUAGCCUGGUUAAACCAGACUGAAUGCUGUGUUCACCAUGAGGGGAGUGCUCAGUCUAGUUUUAAUCAGGCUAAAAAUGCUCGUCUUUGACUAAUAUGCAAAUCGCUAUUGGUGACCAUUUUGUCACGUUGGCUCCUGUCCUGUCGAUGAAACGUUUGUAAUAGAGAACCUCAUCUCAGGAUGACAAGCCUCUUCCUGGUUUCAGUCGUUGAUAUUCAUUUGUGAUGUAUUUUUCAUCCCCCAUUCUGCCUGUCUAUCUUCAUCUGGGGUUAAUAGUACCCCUCUCCUAUCACAACCUUAAAUGAAAAGCCUUGAGGCCAGUUUCCCAGACACAGAUUAGUGCUGCAAUAAUCUAUAGCUUUUUGGGUGACUUGACCAAAUUCACAUAGAAAUGUUAUAGAUCUGUUAUUUUCAUUGAAAGCAAGUCUAAGAAGGUGGUAGAUCUGUUAUUUUUCUAUGCUUCCUGUUUUAUAGUUUUGUUUUUUGGGGUCUUUUACUUUGGGUUUUGUACACCGGCUUCAAAUCAGCUGAAAAUACAAUGUUUUUGGUUCUGUAAAAUCUAUUUCACAGCGGUUUAGAUGCUACAAUGAUUCUCUACACAAUACAUGCUUGUUUUCUCACAAGUUGAAAUUCGAAUUUAAAGCAACCAGGAAAUGGAGGUGCGAUAUCUGCACAGUGCGUCUUUUACGCCUGGUCUUGGACUCAAUGGAGAUUCCUCCAUUCAGCAUGAUUUAGAUUCCAGCACUAGGCUUAAUCUGUGUCUGGGAAACUGGUCCUAAAACUAUUCCACCUAUUCUACAACUAUCAUUUGGUUACUCCCAUGGUCUAUGAUGUCACCCACCUCUACCAUGUCACUCUGAGCUCUAUGUCAGCCUGUUGCUCUGUCAGCCUGUUGCUCUGUCCCCAUAUAUACAGGUUUGGAACUAAGCAUUGGAACUCUGCCUAACAACACAUUUGUACAUACCAACGUUUGGCAUUAUUACAGUUCUAUUUAUUUCAGAUGUCUUUAUGGCAUGUUUAAAAUGAAGAACCUGAGUUUUACUAUUGUACAUCAGUCCAAGAUCACAUGUCAUGAUGUACAAUUAGUUGUCCAGUCUGUUCGAUAAAAUGAAAUAAAGAUAUUGAAAAAUAA